rnacentral:snRNA from 1 species
GGGUCUGCAUCGAUCUGGCUAUGACAUCUGUCACCCCAUUGAUCUCCAGGAUUGAUUCGGCUGAUCUGGAUGGCUAGGCAGGUGUCCCCUUCCUCCCUCACGGCUCCAUAUUCUUCCCUCCGGAAUCUCCCGAAGCUGCUUGCUUCGUGGAAGAGGACGACCUUCCCCCAAUAGAGGAGGACCAGUCUUUGGUCAAGGAUAUGUGAGUCACUACAUUCCUCUUCUAGAACCUCCAAACAAGCUCUCGAAGUCGCUGGUUCUUUUAGGCAGGGUAUCACAGCAGAAUCCUAGUGAUAGAGUUUCCACUGGAUAUUCCUUUUUUUU